CCGAGGUACCCCAACGGAAUCCGGAAUAUCUCCGGUAAGAGUGGACCAUAUUUGUCCCCCAUAUGACAGUUCAAAAUAUAGACCAAUCUAGAUCUUUUGCAACCGGAAGCAUCCAAUUUGGUCAAUUCUACCAAAAGUUAUGAGAUUUAUAAGAAAAAAAAAUAGGGGUCAAAUGACUACCCGAGCGUUUGAGUGUUAAUUCCGUUUCAGAAUUCCGAUUGAGUUGACUGGGCAGUAUCUUCGAUUAGGAUUACACACUUUUGUGUAAUCAUAGUUGAACUAGAAAAAGUGUAAUGCUGUUACUCGGUGAAGCAAUAACGUUGCCCUGUCACGAAAUAUUUUAGCAGAGCUGGUUCUGUAAGAAUCCUGCUAGAAUGUUGCUACAUUUCUGUUAGAAUUCUAUAAGAAAAUGGAAACUGUGUUAGAACUCGGCUGGAAACCAACCAACGAAUGCCUACUCAUUUAGGUACACUUCUUUUAUUACGUAACGCUAAAAUUUUGAUUUUUUGACCCCCUCGCCCUUCGUUUAAAAUGUCCAUAUAAAUUUCAAAAAACAUACUUUACUCGUUCGAUCCCCCACCCCCUCAACCCACACCACCAACUGCGUUACGUAAUAAAAGAAUGCGGCACUUGUAUCAGAAGAAAGUGAGGCAUUUUCGCUAGUUGUAACAUAAGUGUAGCGAAUUCGAAUAUUUGUAGCCUUGAUCAAUGUUUUAUGUGCCAAAUGAAUAAUUAAACAUAAAAGUGUAGAAAAGCACAGCACUAGCGUAGAAUUAGAUCCACAGUCUCGCUUGAAAGCUCGACGCGAGGAGGAAUAUUUCUUGCACUCGAUCGUCACCGCCUGCGACGAUGCUCAAUCUGAAGAAGAGAGACAGGAGGAUGAGAAGGAAAAUGCGGCACGAUCGCGGCAGCAAGCACUAGUUGCCUGCAAGCCGCCAGUGAAGGUGCAUAACCGAGUUAAAGGCGCGAAGAAAAUUAGCGUGGGACGCGGUGGCACGAGGGCGACAUUCAUCGAGGAGCGCGCAAAAAACCGGCCUCCAAAGGACCCGUUCGUCCACUCCCAACGUUGCCGGCCGUCCGAAACAAAAACCAUCCGGAUUAACCGAGCAUGUGCCCGUGGACCGGCUGCUGACGCAGACGAACCAUAGACGUGGUGGUGAAUUACGGAGCUUCCCGGUCGGAAGUGGACGGCACCAGGCAGAGGCAGGCCCGCGAAGCACAAUAAAACAUCUACCAAGCACGCAAAACAUCACGACACAAGCCGGCACCAAGUGCGAGCCAGCGGAGGCGUCGGUAACGCAGAUCGCCGGGCGCGUCGCUAACCGUAGCAAAUCUCAAGUCGAGACCGAGCGGCCUCACCCAAAGGAGAACGAUCAGAGGGGUCGGUAAAGUAGCCGGCACGAACCAACGCUCACUAGGCCAGAACGCUCCAUCGGUCCAGGACCUGUGGCAUUCAUUCCACCGUCGUCGCCGGAUCACGUACGAUAGAGCACAACGCGAAUCCCGCGAACGGGAACCGAGGACACAGGACGUCACUGGAUCGCUGCCGAUAAGUUGCGUCGAGGUCUUGGAGUAGUUGCACGCGAUUGGAAGCCAAACGCCCCCAAGAAACACGGGGGCGUUUUUUGGGACACUUGAGUCAUUGGAGUUUCGGCGCUCGAGGUUGGACGUGCGGAAGGCCGGCAGUCCGGAGAGGAGCAUUCGGUUCGCGAGGCACGCGUAGGGACGCUGCAGGAAAGCGUCGAAGAUCAGACGCCGGCACAUUGGAGAGGAGGCACGCGCAUCGCAACGGCUCGUCGAUCAACAGCUCACCCGCCAGUGGCACCGUAAGGCGUGUUACGUUACGCGCGCACGAUGAGCGGACAGCGCGUCGAGCUGAGCGAGGACUGUGCAAAGAAGAAGUGAUGGGCCCAUCGCGUGUGUGAGUAGUGCGUUAGUAAUAAAGACGAAGAGAAAAAAGAUUGGCGUAGGUUUUAGGCUUUAGAGAGUGAGAGGCAGAUCUAGAACGAUGAAUC